ensembl:lncRNA
GCACCAAGCACGAGAAAAAGAAAUGACAAAUAGUCAAAAUAAAGGAGUAAAAGAGCUCUUAAGUCACACGUGCAAAAAGUACUGGUUUUCUGCUUCCUGCUGAGUGCAACAGACCCAAAUGGGCCGGCUGCACGGUGACAUACCAUCCUCACCCACGUUUGUUAUCAAUUCUAGCUUGAACCGGCUGAGCUGGAGCGUUUCCUCUGCCAUCUCACCAGCCAGGGCUGUAUUAAUUGGAGAGAUAAUCUACUUGAUCUCCCCACAAAAGAGUGAUUCAUUGAGAACGUCAUGUGCAGCUCCCUCUGGCUGCCAAGAGCAGAUUAGAUUCCAAAAAAGCACAAGCACAGAUCAUCGUCUUCCUAUAGGAGCUAGGUAGUCAACACUAUGACCUGAGGAUGGAGGAGGGCGACAGGAGGGGCUGCAUGGAGGAGGAACGCACAGAUCUCUAGGCUAUUUGCUAUAAAAGGUGUCAAUAGCAGUAAUAUGCUAAAGCACAGUAUAAUGUUUAAAACAACACAGUGACACGGUGAUACAAACAAUGCGAUACAUGGUGUCGUUGUCAAGGACUAUUACAGAAUAUAAUGGAACUCUAUUAUGCAGGUAUUCUGCAACUCUUUCCUUAGUCUGACUCUACAUUGUUAUCUAUUACUGGUCAUAAUAAUGAUGUGGAAACAAACAAUCCAUAGUAAUGUUUGUGAAAACAAAUAGGCCUAAAGAAAUGCUUCUCAUAAUAUGAAUCCACUUACCAACUCUCUACACCUUAAAACACUUAAUCAAACCAAUAUGAGAGCAAGGUAGGCAGUACUGCAAGAUGGCAGAUGACGCAAAACUCAAGUCACCUAUGCCUGAUUUCCUGUGAGUAAUAAUCAAUAUCUGGCCCAAGCGAUGGUGGACAUAUGAAUGUUCAGAACUACUUCUCUUAGUGGACUUCAGGGUGAAAUUAUCCUAGAUUUAGAGUUGUGCCCGUGUUAGUUCUCUCUUGCUCUCUCUACAGUAAAGUAACAUAUGCUACCUAGAUUACAGACAUGCAAGACACAAUAUGGUAUUCAAGCUAGAGCAUGAAUUUUUUAUUUUUAUAAAUUCGCUUUGAUAUUUAAACACAUUUCCAGAUUACUCUUGAAUAUCGUGAAAAUAUCGUCAUAUAGGCAGAAUAUCUAUGCAGGGGAGGGGGCGUGGCGGCGGCUAGCGAUGUACCCUGAUAAUUUCGCAUAUUUAAGUGUUAUAGGCAGAAUGUCUGUGCAGGGGGAGGGGGCGUGGCAGCAGCGGUUACAAACACGCACAUGCGUGCAGGCACAUCAGUGGGCCGCAAAUUACUUUCUAGUCAGAAUGGUGGUCCCUGGGACAAAACCAGUUGAAAACCCCUGAGCUAGAGGAUUUGGAAACUUGGAAAUACUUUUUAUGAGCUAGUUAAUAUGGGAAACAAUAUGCUUAAAAGCAUGUGCCACUAACUGACGUAUUACAUUCAUUACAAACCAUUAUAAACUAUUUUAGGCAAUUAAGCCAAUUAGCUUACCGUCAUUUCCAGACUUUCAACGGCGGUUUACACAUUGAUUUUGUCAAAUGUCUGCAGCCCUGCGGUUAAUACAGCACUGCGGUCUACACACGGGAAUGCAUUUUUUCCCCCAUGGAAGUUAGUACCUCUGCCAGGUAGAAUGGGUCUCUCUCCCUCUUUCACAUACGAAUCCCAUUAAAAACAACAUCGAAUAGACCACAUUUUCUUUCACACGCAGUCCUACAUAACAAUAAAGACAUGGCUGUGUGUAUUCCCACCCAACUGUAGCCUAUUUACCAAGAUGCUACUGAGCUUGAACCUUCGCAAGGUAUGUAGAAAACAUGCCAGGUCUCAUGCCAGGUAACCUAGCUAUGAACUAUUCUUGCCAUCUCUAGCUUAGGAAACCAUCUUAAAAGUUGGUAGUUGCUAUUGUAUGUAAUAAGAACCCAGUUUAAUAUGAACUCAGUUUAAUAUGGUGCUGCACAGGUACCCAGAGGGUUUCUACCUUUUGCAGAUGUUUAACUAUCCUAGCCAUCUCGUGCUUAGGAACCAUCUUCACAGCUGACAGCUACUAACGUUUGUUAAUAUGAACUCUUGUUUAAAGCUGCACAGGCAGCCUGAGGGUUUCUACCUUUUCCUAGUAGAAUUUCGAGGAGACUAACAUCAGUUGGAUAAUUAGCCAUCAUGCCCUGCAAAUGGUACUCUGCCAUUUUAACCAUCUGCGGGUAUUUAACCGUUUCCUUUAGCUAGCUAGCUGCAUAACCUUAAGCGACAUUUCAUUUCUCAAAAAAUAGACAUAGACACUAAACAAUCCUGAGAGAAAUUACAGGUCAAUACACGGGUUCGUUUUAUAAAAUGUAAAUACUGUAAUGCAGUUUAUAUACGGAGCAGUUUAUCGUCGGCAAAACACGGUAGUUAAUGCAGCCCAAACUGAAUGUCUUUUUUCCAAUUCAGGCGCUUAGAAAAGACCUGCAGUUUCCUAUUCUGUUCCUGUUAUCAAACUGCUUACAUGCAUCCAGAUAACCCAAUAAUAAACAGUCAUAACUAAACCAAAUCUGAAACUGAGUCUUAUCUCAUUCUUUUUAAAGAGUAGCUUUGUGUAUUCUGUUUAUGUAGUGUGAAAGCGAAUGGGAUCAAAUGUGGCAUACAUCCAUUAAAGUAGUUCUACUCAAGUUACUACACAUCAUACAGCCACCAACUCAAUGUGUUAGAAGAAGAAAGUAACAGCAGAGUCAAUAACCUUCCCUUCACCUGUCUUUCACCUCAUGAAAACUAUUAGUCACCAUUAUUAUCCAUUACGACAUAAUAACAGCCUUGACAAUAAAGCUUGAAAUGACAUACGCAUGUCCCAAAGCAACCAGUUAGCACUCAGCUUCUAUAGUAAUGGUUAGUAAUGACGACGAGCCUACACAGGAGAAUGCUGUGUCUGCAGGCUGGGUGGCAGGGGUCAGCAGGGGCAGACAGGAAGGCGAAGCGCAAACGGAGGUUCAAAAGCAAACCAUCAUUUAGUGAGCUAACAGGUUGCCCUUCUGCCUUGGCCACAAAAAAGAUACUGAUGUUGCACUUGCUUGUGUUUGGGAAUAGGGUUUCUUUGUCAAUCUGCCAAAGGCAAUGAUGUAGCAGUUCUUUUCUCAAAGCUGGUUGGUUUAUUGGUCUCGGAGGUCAGCUAUGAGUCAAGGCAGAGCAAGGCUGAACUACGUGUUAUAAAAGCAAAUGAACCACCACUGCCUUAGAGGUGACCAGAUAUCACCCCAACUCUCACAGGCGCACCUUAUCAAUCGUGAUGAAAGCAAAAAGGGUUGGGCGAUAUGUGUAUGUAUAUAUAUAUUAUAUCACAAGAUACAAUAUAUCACGAUUUUCAGAGAUGGAACUCCUAAGGUCUAAAUUCAAACACGCCUUGUAAAAUACAAUGAUCUGCUUGAAGGACAGCAAUAACCAAAAUUAUUAGGGAAUUUAUAAUGUAGGAACUUCUAUUUGAAAAGUAUUCUUCAUUUGAUCAUUUAAGCUAAAAUGUAAUGAAAAAUGAUUAAUUCAUCUUGGAUGAGGUCAGAAAUGAUACAAAACUGAGAAAUAACGUCAAUAUAAGAUUUGUCUGCACCUGUGUGUCUGUAUAUCUAACUGUCCCAAAAGCACAGCAUACAAAAAAAGCUUGACAUAACAUAAGCUUGAUAAAACAUAAGCUUUACAUCAAAUGGACUGUAAACUCACAGGGAAUGCAGUCCAGUCAUGGAGAGUGCCCAAAAGAGUACACAUCUUUUCAUUUUGUUCAGUCUCUGACUUAUACUCCAUAAAAUACAUAUUCAUCAGUUUUACGGCUCAACUUGAUCUUGGGGACUCACGAUGCUGGGUUCAACUGCCCCUCCCUAAUAAAUGUGUCACAACUCACACAGUCAUGUCACAAUCAUGACAGUCAUGCCAA